AGGUGAUAAAUUUCGCUUAAAAUAGCACGGAUGCGGUGAAUCCCCCUGUGCGGAGGGGCUAAGUCACACGGGGAAUGCCCUGGCCAAUAAGCGGAUCAGGUUGUGACUUUUCCUGACUCACCGGGAGGCACCCGGCACCGCAUACACAGCCAUUACUUUCAGCAUUCAGAAUCCGGCUUCUGUGG
rnacentral:sRNA from 1 species